rnacentral:rRNA from 1 species
UACGUAGGGGGCUAGCGUUGUCCGGAUUUAUUGGGCGUAAAGCGCGCGCAGGCGGUCCUUUAAGUCUGAUGUGAAAGCCCACGGCUCAACCGUGGAGGGUCAUUGGAAACUGGGGGACUUGAGUACAGAAGAGGAAAGCGGAAUUCCACGUGUAGCGGUGAAAUGCGUAGAGAUGUGGAGGAACACCAGUGGCGAAGGCGGCUUUCUGGUCUGUAACUGACGCUGAGGCGCGAAAGCGUGGGGAGCAAACAGG